rnacentral:rRNA from 1 species
GAUGAACGCUGGCGGCAUGCCUAAUACAUGCAAGUCGAACGAGAGGAAGGAAAGCUUGCUUUUCUGAAUCUAGUGGUGAACGGGUGAGUAACACGUAGGUAACCUGCCCAUGUGCCCGGGAUAACUUCUGGAAACGGAUGCUAAAACCGGAUAGGUAACAGACAAGCAUUUGACUGCUAUUAAAGUGGCUAAGGCCAUGAACAUGGAUGGACCUGCGGUGCAUUAGCUAGUUGGUGAGGUAACGGCCCACCAAGGCGACGAUGCAUAGCCGGCCUGAGAGGGCGGACGGCCACAUUGGGACUGAGACACGGCCCAAACUCCUACGGGAGGCAGCAGUAGGGAAUUUUCGUCAAUGGGGGGAACCCUGAACGAGCAGUGCCGCGUGAGUGAGGAAGGUCUUCGGAUCGUAAAGCUCUGUUGUAAGAGAAAAACGACAUUCAUAGGGAAUGAUGAGUGAGUGAUGGUAUCUUACCAGAAAGUCACGGCUAACUACGUGCCAGCAGCCGCGGUAAUAC